AGGACGAACGCUGGCGGCGUGCUUAACACAUGCAAGUCGAGCGGAAAGGCCCUUCGGGGUACUCGAGCGGCGAACGGGUGAGUAACACGUGAGCAACCUGCCCUUAGCUCCGGGAUAGCUCCGGGAAACCGGAAUUAAUACCGGAUACGACCACGGCCGACAUCUGCUGUGGUGGAAAGGAUUCCGGCUAAGGAUGGGCUCGCGGCCUAUCAGCUAGUUGGUGGACGUAACGGCCCACCAAGGCGACGACGGGUA
rnacentral:rRNA from 1 species